rnacentral:rRNA from 1 species
GGCGGCAGGCUUAACACAUGCAAGUCGAACGCGUGUAGCAAUACACGAGUGGCGCACGGGUGAGUAACGCGUGGAUAUCUGCCUUUUGGUUCGGAAUAACCCCGGGAAACUGGGGCUAAUACCGGAUGGUUCCUACGGGAUAAAGAUUUAUCGCCAAAAGAUGAGUCCGCGUACGAUUAGCUAGUUGGUGAGGUAAUGGCUCACCAAGGCGACGAUCGUUAGCUGGUCUGAGAGGACGAUCAGCCACACUGGGACUGAGACACGGCCCAGACUCCUACGGGAGGCAGCAGUGGGGAAUAUUGGACAAUGGGGGCAACCCUGAUCCAGCCAUGCCGCGUGAGUGAUGAAGGCCUUCGGGUUGUAAAGCUCUUUUGGCGGGGACGAUGAUGACGGUACCCGCAGAAUAAGCCCCGGCUAACUUCGUGCCAGCAGCCGCGGUAAGACGAAAGGGGCUAGCGUUGUUC